UGAUUGCUAAAUGAAUAAUUUAAAUUAAUUAGCCUGACUGAGUUUCACAUGUCCUUAUAUUAUUAUUACCUUUACUUUCUAAAAUUCACAUUUAAACUGUAGGUCAUCUUAUGCCCAGAACAAUGCCAAACGUUGUUUGUCUGUAGUGUGUAUGCAUCACUGCUUCUCCGCUCCAGAAAAAAGUUCAGGCUCAGGAUUGUUUUGACUGUGAGCCCUGCACACAGCUUCAACACGCCUCUCAGUGUGCCAGCGUGGAAAUCUGUCAGGAAUGCUGUUUAUCUGGCAGCUAGAUAAUAACCAUGAAGAUAAUAGCAGCAGGUUCCGGCCAGCAGGGGGCGAUAGUUCAACUCCUGCUGCCGGAAAUUCAGUUGAAGAAGAAGCGGAAGCGGAAGAGGAAAGGGGUUCGCUCUUUACAGUAAAAACAAAACUCGGAGGCUAAAUAAUCCACAGUCCUUUCUGGAUCAGAACCGUUCACCAGACAUAUACAGAACCAGAACAUUUGAAUGAUAACCGGAACUUCGAGAUCCAGAUCAGAACCGAUUCGCUGCUGCGGGCCCGGAACGGAGACCCGGAAUGGAGUCCUGGGUUCGGUUCAACGCUCAGAGUCAGUCCAAGGAGAAGGCGAUCAGGGCAGCCCAGUAUGCCUGCAUGGUCCUGGGCUACUCGCUGCAGUGGAACAGAGCAGCAUCGGACUUCUACAAAACCAUCAGUGAGCUGGAGAAACAUCUGAGCCUGACUCGAAAAUUGCUUCGCCUGGGGAACUCGGUGGAAGCUCUGGAGGCAGCCAAACGCUCCAUCCACCUGUCAGACGGCGUGUUGAGGCUCUGCCUGACCAUCAGCCACCUGAACAGAGCCAUGUACUUCGCCUGCGACAACGUCCUGUGGGCUGGAAAAACCGGAGUCCUCUCCAAACUAGAUCAACAGAAAUGGAGUCAGAGAUCUUUCAGGUACUACCUGUUUUCUCUCAUCAUGAAUCUGACCAGAGAUGUGUAUGAGCUCUGCCUCCUCGUGGACCAUGAGAACCGAUCCAGAAGGUCCAAAUUCUCCAACACCUGCCUCCCUGCUGACCUCUCCUCCUCAUCUCCAGCAGCUCUUCCUCUCAUGACAGCGUGGCUCCAGCGACACCUCCGGCAGGUGGUAACGAUUCUCUACAAUAACCCGCCUUUGCUGUUGGACCUGCUGAAGAACAGCUGUGAUGUCUUCAUCCCCUUGGACCAGCUGGGGAUUUACAGAACUGGACCGGGCUUUGUGGGAACCUGCGGCCUGGUCUCCUCCGUCCUCUCCAUCCUCGCCGUGGUCCACCCCUGGCUCAAACUCAAGCCAUGAACCCAGAGACACGGCAGGCAAGAUGGGAGGAGUUCCCUGGGGUUUGGUCCUGAAGACUUCUGCUCCAAGCUGACCAGCAGGUCUUCCUGGAUAAAAGUUGCAGAGUCUGUUGGUCUCUCUUUUCUGUCCUUUCCACCCCGACCGGUCGAGGCAGAUGGCCGCCCUCCCUCAGCCGGGUUCUACUGGAGGUUUUUCCUUUCCACUUUCACCUGCUGCCCCAUGCCUGCUCAAGAUGGAGGACUGAAUCCAAGUCAUGCUUUUCCCUAACUAGGCUAUUAUGUGUUUUGAAUUGCUUGUAAAGAGCCCUGAGUUGACGUUGUUGUGAACUGGUCUGGAGCCUUGCAACUAAUCAUAUGUUACUGAAUCUUUUACAGCAUACAUGAAAUUAAAGUUAUUCUUUAAAAAAAAUAUUGAUCUGUGGAUUAAAUUAAUAUUUCUACAAGUUUGAGUGAAUAAUCUUUUUUUUCUCUUGAAACAUCCCUCCCUUAAUAUACGUAUGUACUAUGAAAAUAGAAGGGAUAUAUCUAUUUAUGCCAUAUUUUUUAUAUAUAUUUAAUGAUCUUUGGAGAAUUUACAGCAAGC